ensembl:lncRNA
CACCCGAGCCCACAGCGCCUAACCUGAGGCUCCCAGUCGCGUCGGGCCUCCCGAGUGGGGCGCGUGUAGGGAAGACCUCCGCACGUGUCCCCAGCACGGAGCAGGGCCAGUUUCAGGGAUCCUUCAGCAGUACAGGGCUCCCUACUCAGAUGGACCCUGGGCUUGGCAUAUGGCUCUGCUGUUGCCAUCUUCUGUGUCCCAAAAUUCAUGUUGAAACAUAAUCCGGAUUAUAGUGGUAUAUGAGAAAGGGGAGAAUAUCACCAGGCUCACACUUGGAGGAUUUAAUGAAGUGAUUGUGUCAGCCAGUGGACCUCAGACUUUAUCAUGUAUCUGAAUCAUCUGAGAACUUGUUAAGUGUACCAAAGGAUUUCGCUACACUAAACAAGGUCCGCUUGU